GAAUAAUCAUUUAACAUGCUAUAAAGUUGUGUUGUCUAACAUACUAAAGCACAUGUAGAGUACUAGAUUAUUAUUUAACUGUAGUGUGUUAAUGGACAUUACCUUUAAAGUUAAUAUUUUUGGAAUAUAGUAAAUGACAAAAUACACGGCACACAAGAAUCAAGAGAAAUGACAUUCAUAAAACCUUGUCAGUACAUUCACCAGCACUUUAACCAAAGACAAUAGAAUUAUGAAAUUACAUAUAACGAUGUUCUCAAGCCCUCUCAACACUCAGAGAUCAGCUAACUGCAUUUAAUAUACAUUUACACUACAGCUUCAUUUAAAUUUGGUUAAUAUGCAAUAAAGACUCAGAAUACAGACUACAUUCAGUUCAAACUUUACUAUAUUCUUUUAAAGCAUAUUAUUUCUAUAAUUAAUGAUUUAUUUUAAAAGUAUGCUAAUAUGUGCUUCUAUUGUGCUCAUCAAAUAAAAGUGUUUUCCAGGACGUGAAGUGAACGGCUCUAUUGGCCCGCUGAGCGUCUGUCCAGUCACUGCAGUCCAGCAGGAUUCUCACGCCUGAAUCUGACCGUCAGCCAGCCGCGCUCACGUCUCCAGUAACUCCAUACUGCCUGCGUUCUCAAUCCCAGAGCGUGAAUUUAACUUCAUACCUCACUGAUGAAAAGGACAUUGUGAUCCAGGGUUCAGAACUCUAUGCUUUCUGUUUGCUUUAAUGAGAAAAUCACUGGAGCUGCCUUGAAAUGUCAUAUUUGUUGCUUUUGUAUCAGACUGUGCCAAUAAUUGCAGAAUAUCCCAGAUGUUCAGUGUUGCAGAUCUGAUGUCUUACAGAGCGAGUCGAGUGUCGAUCGGCGCCAGGUUAGCAGUACAGCCCUCGAGUCUGUGUGGGUUUAUCAGGACGCUGCUAUAUCAGGCUCUUGUCUGCUUUUAUCUUCUGACCUCGCAGAGCCUGUGGGAGUGAAUUCCAGACACGUGAUGACAGAAGAGGACUCACUGAAGAUCUGCUGCAUGUCUCCUGGACGGCUCAGGAAUGAAUAUCCUCUGAGACAUUCACUGUUGGAGCAACACGACCUCAGAUGUGUGACAAACUCCUCUAAAAUCAGGUGUUUACUCUUCUGAGACGUCUGAGGAUUGCAGCUGAUGGACAUUAAACGAG
ensembl:lncRNA